UACGUAGGGGACGAGCGUUGUCCGGAAUUAUUGGGCGUAAAGAGCGUGUAGGCGGCCCUGCAAGUCCUGCGUGAAAUCUCGAGGCUCAACCUCGAGCGGUCGUGGGAAACUGCAGGGCUAGAGUGCGGGAGAGGGAAGUGGAAUUCCAGGUGUAGCGGUGAAAUGCGCAGAUAUCUGGAAGAACACCCGUGGCGAAGGCGGCUUCCUGGAACGACACUGACGCUGAGACGCGAAAGCGUGGGGAGCAAACAGG
rnacentral:rRNA from 1 species